rnacentral:rRNA from 1 species
UACGAAGGGGGCUAGCGUUGCUCGGAAUUACUGGCGUAAGAGCGACGUAGGCGGCUUCUUAAGUCGGUGGUGAAAUCCUGGAGCUCAACUCCAGAACUGCCUUCGAUACUGGGAGCUCGAGUCCGGGAGAGGUGAGUGGGAACUGCGAGUGUAGAGGUGAAAUUCGUAGAAUAUUCGCAAGAACACCAGUGGCGAAGGCGGCUCACUGGCCCGGUACUGACGCUGAGGUGCGAAAGCGUGGGGAGCAAACAGGGAUUAAGAUACCCCA